UCCGGUUUGUCACCGGCAGUCUCCCUCGAGUGCUCUUGCGUAGCAACUAGGGACAAGGGUUGCGCUCGUUGCGGGACUUAACCCAACAUCUCACGACACGAGCUGACGACAGCCAUGCAGCACCUGUGCGACGGCUCCCUUGCGGGCACGCCCACCUCUCAGCAGGCUUCCGUCCAUGUCAAGGGUAGGUAAGGUUUUUCGCGUUGCAUCGAAUUAAUCCACAUCAUCCACCGCUUGUGCGGGUCCCCGUCAAUUCCUUUGAGUUUUAAUCUUGCGACCGUACUCCCCAGGCGGUCAACUUCACGCGUUAGCUUCGUUACUCAGAAAAUAAAUCCCGAACAACCAGUUGACAUCGUUUAGGGCGUGGACUAC
rnacentral:misc_RNA from 1 species